CAAGGAGGAGGAGAAGAAGAAUCACAAUGGAGGAGCAGUUUAUCACUGCUGUGAAUUAUCACCCGGUCCUGUACGACGUGGGGUGCGCGUUUUACCGGGACCGCACCUCCAAGGAGGAGGCAUGGGCGAAGGUGGCCCAUGAUGUCGGGCUUUCUGGUAAGUUUGUUUGUGUAUUUGUUUCAGUGAGCGGACUGUUUUAUGAAAACAUAGCUAACUGCCCCUGCUUGCUAGGCUACAUGUUUCAAUGUAUGUGUGUGUGUCUUUGCAGUGGAUGUGUGCCGCAAGCGGUGGAAGGGGCUUAGGGACGUUUAUAUGAGGGACAGACAGAUAGACAGGCGCUCCGAAGCUGAGAUGGAGC